rnacentral:rRNA from 1 species
AUGAACGCUGGCGUCGUGCCUAAUACAUGCAAGUCGAGCGAACAGACGAGGAGCUUGCUCCUCUGACGUUAGCGGCGGACGGGUGAGUAACACGUGGAUAACCUACCUAUAAGACUGGGAUAACUUCGGGAAACCGGAGCUAAUACCGGAUAAUAUAUUGAACCGCAUGGUUCAAUAGUGAAAGACGGUUUUGCUGUCACUUAUAGAUGGAUCCGCGCCGCAUUAGCUAGUUGGUAAGGUAACGGCUUACCAAGGCAACGAUGCGUAGCCGACCUGAGAGGGUGAUCGGCCACACUGGAACUGAGAAACGGUCCAGACCCCUACGGGAGGCAGCAGUAGGGAAUCUUCCGCAAUGGGCGAAAGCCUGACGGAGCAACGCCGCGUGAGUGAUGAAGGGCUUCGGAUCGUAAAACUUUUUUUUUAGGGAAAAACAAAUGUGUAAGUAACUAUGCACGUCUUGACGGUACCGAAUCAGAAAGCCACGGCUAACUACGU